rnacentral:lncRNA from 1 species
CCGGAGCCGGGAUCCCGGGCCGGGUCGGGAUGAAAGGGUGCAAGCUGGGAGCUCCCCGCCCUUCUUCCCCCAACCCCGGCGGCUCCCGGCCGCCUCGGGCUUGGCGUGCCUCGCGGAAAAAGGGGGAAGGGAAGCGGGACGGGCCCGCAGCUGCCGUGGUAGAGAGGCUCGCAGGCUUGCAGGACCAUGCAGCCUGCUCCCCAAAUUGCACAAAACAGCCGUCGUGAGAAGUAGGAAGUUUCCCCGCCUCGGGUCGCAGCUUCUCUCGGAGCCUCGUGAAACAACGACCCCCACCAGCAGCAGCAGCGCCCGCUUUGCCCCGGCUCCGGAGCGCUGUUUACCUAAUCUCAGCGGCUGACCGAGCCCAGCAGAAUGCGAAAGGGAGGCAGCGGUGGUACAGCAGCGUCCCCGGCGAAGAAGUAAAAGACGUUUGCUUUGGAGCUUCGGGAUAAGUUAACUGCGAAGCUGGGGUCCUGCUGUCUUACCUCUGCGGCGAUGAGCCUCACCGUGCACGUUGGCAGGCAUAGCAGAUUCUGUUUCUGAUGCCAUUACCGUGUCGGAGAAGAACAUUAUAUGAAAAAAUACUAUCUAAUAUCCUAGAGACCAUUAAAGUGUCAAAGUUUAAUGCCAA